rfam:Nicotiana attenuata strain TT chromosome 8, whole genome shotgun sequence.
AUCCCAUUAUGUGGGCAUCUUCGUAGAAGCUCCUUAAGAUGUUCCCAAGCCUCAAAUGCAGUUUCUCCUUUACCUUGACUGAAAUUGUGAAUCCUCUUUCUCAUCUU